rnacentral:rRNA from 1 species
UACGGGGGGAGCAAGCGUUGUUCGGAUUUACUGGGCGUAAAGGGCGCGUAGGCGGCCAGCACAAGUCAGUUGUGAAAUCUCCGGGCUUAACUCGGAACGGUCAACUGAUACUGCGCGGCUAGAGUGCAGAAGGGGCAACUGGAAUUCUCGGUGUAGCGGUGAAAUGCGUAGAUAUCGAGAGGAACACCUGCGGCGAAGGCGGGUUGCUGGGCUGACACUGACGCUGAUGCGCGAAAGCCAGGGGAGCGAACGGG